AGAAAAAUGCACAUAUUUAACUAAUGAUGGCCACUUAACACAAACCCCGCGACAAAUCAACAAAAAUACGCCAUCAUACACGGGCAACUUUCCCAGACAUUCGGUCGACAGUCGGCGUGGGUGAGCAACAAUGCCACGAAUAUUUCUGGCCCGGUGAGAAUUCGCAUGGCUAACGGACACACGACUUGGCGAAUUAUGUUGUUCAAGACAAUUAAGCUGCAACACGCGGAAACAAUUUGCUUUGGGGCCCAGAGCUAGGCACAAACAACGAAGUCAACAACAACAUGCCCACAAAAGCCAAAUGACGCUUUUUGGCCAAAAUAACAUUAAAGCAACAACGGACACAACAACUAUAAGUACGCUCAGUUUCAACGCAUUGCGCAACAUAAUUGAAAUGAAAUGGAAUUGAACAACAACGAGCAACAAUUUGCAAAAUUGACAUUUAAAUAAGCAUUAACGGCAUUGUCGGUGCUCCGUUUUUGGUUCGCCUUGGAAAGUGGUUACCCUUACGAUUGAGAAAGAAAAUAUACGAUAAAUUGACACAAUAAUUAGGAACUGUUUUAUAUACUAGCAUAUGUUCUUUAAACCGAAUGUCAACGCAGCCAGUGCUUGGUUAUAUACUUUAGAUAAAUAAUAUUAUUUUGAUAUGUACUAGUACGAAUAUACCAUACUUAAGAAAAUAUUACUAAGUAAAUCGAAAACUUUUUAUGGGUA